GACGAACGCUGGCGGCGUGCCUAAUACAUGCAAGUAGAACGCACAGUUUAUACCGUAGCUUGCUACACCAUAAACUGUGAGUUGCGAACGGGUGAGUAACGCGUAGGUAACCUGCCUGGUAGCGGGGGAUAACUAUUGGAAACGAUAGCUAAUACCGCAUAAUAUUAAUUAUUGCAUGAUAAUUGAUUGAAAGAUGCAAUUGCAUCACUACCAGAUGGACCUGCGUUGUAUUAGCUAGUAGGUGAGGUAACGGCUCACCUAGGCGACGAUACAUAGCCGACCUGAGAGGGUGAUCGGCCACACUGGGACUGAGACACGGCCCAGACUCCUACGGGAGGCAGCAGUAGGGAAUCUUCGGCAAGGGACGAAAGUCUGACCGAGCAACGCCGCGUGAGUGAAGAAGGUUGUCGGAUCGUAAAGCUCUGUUGUAAGAGAAGAACGGGUGUGAGAGUGGAAAGUUCACACUGUGACGGUAUCUUACCAGAAAGGGACGGCUAACUACGUG
rnacentral:rRNA from 1 species